CUAUACAAUGUAGUAUAACCUGUAUAACUCGAAGUUUGAACAACAUUACAUCUUUGUUAACGUUGAUGUAACAACUGACAUCUAAAUUUAUAAUAAUAUAUGGUUAUGUUGUGGUGGACUAUACCUAUUAAUAUUCGUGUUAAAAUUAUAUUUCGGUGCUGAGGAAAGAGAUCAAUGUGUUACACUAUGCAAAAAUUUUUAACAGAGAUACAAGAAUGCAGAAAAUGAGGUAGCAUCACUUCAUGUACAUUUAGAACAACAAGAAGAGUUAAAUUCUCAUAUACAAUAUGUUAUUCUAAACUAAAAGUAUUAAGUUGAACAUAAAUAAUAAAGAGAUUAUAGAUUAUGAUUUUAAAUUGUAGUACCAUUCUCAUCUCUAGUCUCAGGCAAGUCCAAAGAACCAAAAGAAUAAUGAUUCAAAUGGCGGCAUAGAAGACAAUGUUGAAGUUGAAAAUAGCAAAGCAGGAAAUACAGAAACAAUGGAUGGGAAUAUAGUAGAAAGUGGAAGAGAUCAACAUACAAAUGGAGGAACCACUGAAGAUUAAUAACCGAUCAAAAAGUAUUUCGCAGAGUGAUUAAAAAAAAUAUGUGUCAAACAUUUAUUAAAUGUAAUUGAAUUAUAACUUUUUCCAAAACAAUUAACAAAUAACAAAACAAUAUAAAAUU